AUCUGGCUGCAAAGCCACACAUUUAACAACUACCCAAAACUGUAUUAUGGGUAGACCAGAUGGGCAGCUAUUUCGGUAAUCUAAGUUGGGUGGCAGCAAUGGAGCUCAGGAGAAGUGGAUGUAUUUUGAAGAUACGUAGGAGACUAAAAGACAAGAUAGAAUUCAGUUAUAGAUUAGUCAUAGGGAUGUGGGGGAGAUGGUCUCAGGGAUAGGUUGGUGAGGAAGUGACAGAAGGGAUGACACUCACUGAGAUGUGGGACACUGGAGGAUAACCACGGUUGCUGUGUUCUUGAGCUAAGGCAGGAGGCAGGGGACAAUGUGAGUCCACUUGGACCUACAGAGUACUGAGGUGCUGUAGUGACAUAUUUGGUCGUAUCAAAUUCUUAUAAAGGGACAUAGUUCUAUCCUCCUGCAAGAUUGCAGCUCCUUCUGCUUGGUUAUGAUCCAUCUGGCAUAUUUAUUUAUUUAACAUAAUAUGUUUAGGGGUGGAGGCCGUUACCUCUCUUAAAGUCUCUUUCUGGAGGCAAGUGCAUCUCCCAUGCCUCAUCAGCUGGAUGUCAGCACCAGAUCAUCCUAUCAAGCAUGGAAGCAUCUAUAUAACGAGGGCACAGGUGAGUAUGCAGGAGGCUGAAGAACGUAGAUUUUGAGCCAGAUUCUGUAUUAGUCUGCUCAUACUGCCAUAACAAAAUUCCAAAGGUUGGAUGGCUUAAACAACAGAAAUUUAUUUUCUCAUGGUUCUAGAGGCCAGAAGUCCAAAGUCAAGGUGUUUCCACAGUUGGUUUCUGGUGAGGACUCUCUUUCUCACUUGUAGACAGCUGCCUUCUCAAUGUGUCUUGACAUGGACGCUUUUCUAUGUGUACCAUAGAAGGAGAAAGAUCCCUGGUGUCUCUUCCUCUUCUUAGAAGGACACUAAUGCUAUUGGGUUAGGGCCCCACACCCACGGCCUCAUUUAACCUUAAUUACCUCCUUCAAGACCCUCUCUUCACAUACAGUCACACUGAGAGUUAGACUUCAACAUACAAAUUUGGGGGGGGACAGAAUUGGGUGCAUAACAGAUUCCAAGCCCUACCAUUUGUGAGUUGCAAGAUUACAUUCUUGCACAAUUUGUUCAUCUUUCUAAAUCUCAGUUUUUCUAUCUGUAAAAUAUGGUUGCUGAGAGGAUGGAAUGAGAUAAUAUACGUAAGAGAUAGAUGGUUCUAGAACCUGACAUGCAGCAGUCAAGCAAUGGUAGCAAUGAUUAUCUCGAGUGGCCAUCAUAGUAGAUGAUCACUCUUGGGUUGUUAUUCGUUUCAGACCCUGGAUCCAUGGAACCAUAGGAAUCCCCUCCCAACACCUCCUGUCCUUACUUGUUUAAUCCUGUGGCCUGUCUUCAAGAGUAGCAGCCAUGAGCCGUGGGGACGGUUCUGAGAUAUCUUCCCAGACAGGAUUGCUCAUCAUCUCAAAGAUGUUUUGUCCCUGUUCAGCCACAACAAUGUUUGCCACUUGCUUCCUUUAAAGGAAGCCCCACCUAUGAAGUUUGCUUAGUGACAGCAAGAGGCGAGGGGGGAGGGAAAGGAGCUUAUUUGAAGAGAAUCCCAGAAACUGAAAGGUAACUUUUUCCCCGUGAACAAUGGAUGGAGAAAUUCCCUUUGCAAUGAAUCCUCUUUCCUCACAGUCGGUCCUCCGGGGAACAUGUCAGCACCUUCUGGGACCCCGGAGGAGUCUUUUCUUGAGAAAGAAGCAGCGGUGGUGCUUUGCCUCCAUUUAGGAGUUUUCUUUGCUGAGGCUCCCAAAAUUUAACCAGUCUUAGAAAGCGGUGGAUCCCAUGUGUGGCCUCUCACAAGGAGAAAGAAGAAAAAGAAAAGCAACCAUGCACCUGACCCGUAGCUACCCUUUUUCAGGAUGAGAGGCUCACAUCCGGAAUAUCACAGUUGGGGCUUCAUAAGGCACCCCUGCACCCCUGUUUCCUGGAAUCUACUGAGAGAAAAUGGCAGACCAGCCAAGAUAUUUGACUGAGUUACAGGAGGCAAAGCGGAACAGUGUCUGCGAAUUACCUGGGGACCGCGGGCAGGGUGGACAACCGAUGGAGAAGGCUAGAGCCAAGAAAACACCAUUAUGCGUCGGUGAUCAGGGUAAUUCCGUAGCUGGAGCAAGCAUUUAUGACUUGGGGAAGGUGGGAAGGCUCUGAUUUCUGGAGCCUGGCUAGACUUUGAGAGGAAAUAAGAGAAUCUACUUCCUCUGAUUUGCUGCCCACACUCCCCAGAGAAGAACGUAGCUCAGGUCUCUGAUGUUUGCCCACAGUGAACCUUGAAGGAUUUAUUUCAUGCUCUUUUAAUAAGGUCAAUCUAUUACCUGUCAACUAAAGUCUAAAUUGUUUGACUUGACCUUGAAGAUGGUUUUGGGCAGCUACAGUUCAUAGCGUAAAAGCAUGAACAGUUUCCAUAGCUCUGAAUUAACCCAAUAAGUAAUGGUAACAAUUCUGAAAUGCACAUCAUUUUAGUUGUUGACCAUCAGAAUUUCUUUUUUCUCCCUGGUGUCUCUUUGCGGUUACACUUUGUGGUGUCAUGUGUCUGCUACCCUCUAUUUAUUUGGAGAAAGAUAACUUAGGGCAUGUUAUGUUUGCUUGUAUAUUUUGGGGUAAAGACUCAAGAAUUCUACCUAACUACUUUCAUUAAUCGGUGGGAGAUGCUAAAUUCCUGGAGAUCAUGAAGCUCAAAUGGUCAGGAUGAGUCAUUCACACAUAGUCACCUGCUCGAUAAUUCAUUCAUCCUCUCAGCCUGUUAACAGGUAUCCUGUACAUGUAGGAUGCCUGGCGCUGGGCUGGGUUCCGGGCAUGGAGAGAUGAGCAAGGCUCCACCCCUGAAUACAAAGAGCUUUCCAGCUACACAGCCAUUCCCUGAACACCAUGGGAAGUCAGAGGAGGGAGUGGUUACUUCUCAGCGAAGUCCCCAGAGAGGCAGAAUAUUGAUGUUGGGCCUGGAAGGAUGGGAAAGACUUUGGCAGGAAGAAAUAAAGGAUUAAGGAGCUCUGGGUAGACGAUUUUCCAAGUAUGAGCAAUCUGAGGGCGCCAGAAUGGAGGAAAAUGGAGUGGCUACCACGGUGGCUGCCUGGAAGACGCAGAAUGGAGUUCCGUGUGGGGAAUGCCUUGAUAGCAAAACACAGAGGAUGUUCAGAAGAGAGGAGUUUGGGCGGGUUUUGGUAGCAGCUGGGAGCCACAGAAAAUGUGUGAGUGGGGGCAGGAAAAAAUAAAGGAUCUGGGGAGAAAGUUCAGUCUGCUGUCAGCAUGAAGAACGGAUUACAGAGGUGGAUUAGAAACGGGGCUCGGAGACAGGAGACGCGGGCUGGAGUAGUGAGCGCAACAGCGGGGCAUGGGCGAGGGAAACAGGAGGUGGCUAGGAGGAAGGUACUCCAGACUAGGAAUCCAAAUGUGUGGGCUUAGUCUCGGCCCUACACUUGGCAGCUGUGCGACCAAGAUUUAAUUUCCUGGCCUCCAGUUCCUCCAGAGUGAGGAGACGAGUCUGAGGGAACCCGAACACCCUCACAGCAGCACCUUCUGUGAGUCUCCUGAGAUGCUGUUGGGAAGAGAGUUUGACUAGCUCAGAGAAGAGAAACUUCUAGAAUGGGAGAUGACCUUGGUGAUGGUGGUUCUGCAACUUCGGUGUAGGUCAAAUCACUUGAGCAGUUUGUCAAGAGGCGGGUCAGCCCAGGACCCAGCUGGGGAAAUGCAGAUGCAGCCUGGGGUUUCUUUUGUCAUUGCACAACACUUUGUGAAACCCUAAUCUCACAUCUGGAGUGUUGUCCGGCCCUCUCAGAUGGGCUGAAUCUGAAGCUAGUGGGGCUGAGUCGGUGUCCAGGCUGAAAGGGACACUGCCUCUCCCCCACCGUCUAGUGAGGGGGUUCCCAACAAGAUGGCGGCCACUUCCCUGUCUCUCCCUUCCCACUUGUCUUGAACCAUCUUCCCAGAACUAGACAUCAGCCUGUUGAGCUCAAAGGAGACCCAAGCUGCCAAGCUGCCAAUUUCAGAGCAGCUGGUUUGAGGUGCCACAGGGCCGGCUGUCCUGGUGCCACCAGCUGGUCGUGCUGGCCAGUCCUCCUCACAGUUAGUCAGCAGGUGGGCUCAGUCAGCGCAGGUCACUUGAUCCUGUGACACUCCCAGGUGCCUUGCCAUCACCCAGCAGCAGCAUCUGGGAGCUUGCUGAAAAUGCAGAAUCUCGGGCUCACCCCAGACCCACGACUCAGAGUCUGUACGUUAACAAGAUCCUGAAGUGGUUUAUUUGUGUGCACACUAAAAUCCGAGAAGCUCUGGUCUCUGCCUCCUCGCUGGCUGUAAACAGUCCUCCCCCACCCCACCCCCAGGGUAAAGAAAGAAGGGGGGGGGCAAGAGGAGGGGAGGGGGUGGAGGAGAGGAGGGAAUCUGGACUAGAAUGGGAGGGAAGGUAAUGGGGGAGCGGGGAAGAAAGAAGGAAGAACGGAGGAUGGUUGGUUGGGAGGAAAGGAUGCAUGGAGGGAGGGGGGAAGGGAGGGGGAGAGAGAGAAUUGCUAGACCUAGCCUCUUAAUUUCAGUCGGCCACGGGACACACCUUUUCUUCUUCUCUCCCUUUGUCCACAUAUAAGCUUCAAUCACGUAAAGCAGGACCAGAGGGUGGGGAAUUUCAGAACCUUGAAACACGAGACGUGUUCCGUCUGUCUUCUGCUUCCUAAAAAGGAAAGCCUUCUCCACGGUUCCUGUAAGCUACGUGGAUUACCGGUGAGGCCUCACCCAGCAAUCCGGAGCAGGAAGUACAGAACACCCCAGAGGUCGCCUGCACACAACUAACUGAAACCCUCAAUUCAGCGGAUUGGCUUCCACCUUCAAGAGAAAAGCAAAUACUAAGAAAAUCAGUUCCCCCCUGGCACUGACCCUCUUUUCUUUCUGUAAUAGUCAGAGCACCCUGGCGGCGCGGCGCACAGGCACGGACACCUGCUGCAGCCUUGGGGCAGGGCGGCGCAGCGGACAGGCAGUUGGCACAGCAUCAGGGUCUCCAUGCCAGCACCACCACGCACAGGCUGUCAGCUUGGCGAGCUACCCCCACUCUCAGAGUCUUGAUUUCUUGGCUACGCAUUGGGGAUUAGAAAAAAUAAUAACCUGAUAUCCAGCAGAGGCUUGUUGAGAGGAUUAGAGGUCUGUGCAACUGCUCACCUGGGAGCCACUCAACAGGAGUGAGUUCCCUUUCUUAAUACCUGCAGAUAGUGGUCCUUGUUCCAGGCAGAAGGGGCCCUGGGCUGGCCCUAAGGAAGCUUUGAUGAUGGCCAGCCGACUGGUCCGGGUAACAUCAGCCUAGGGGGUUGUGUUUUCCCCAAGGUGGGGAAUUCCAGUUAAGGUUUUCUGUGUUUUGAAGGAACAAUGGAAACAAAAUAGAAGCCUAAAGACUUCCGGGGGAGCCUCAGAAUAAGCAGCGACAGCUGUUCUCUUUCAGGAGAUGUCAGCGCCCUCUCUUGGGGGAGCUGCGUUGACUCGGUCCCUCGUGGGAUUCGCGGGUCCUCUCAGCAUCCUUUCAAAUUAGAACCCCAGCGCUACUUCUCCCAGAAACGUUCUUCCUCAUUUCUUCAUCAGAGUCUUGCAUAUCUUUGUUCUCCUCUCUUCCAUCCAAAUCAUUCUUUCUCUCUGGUUUCGUUGGGUCUUCGACUAGUAUCUCCAAGCUGCAGUCCUAGUUUCUAAAUUUAUAACUCAGUCCAAACCUUCAAAGAACUGAUUCUCUAAGAGGAUUAUGUUUAUCCCUCUGUCACUAAGGGCCUUCCUUCUUACCUCUUAGCAGCCGCAGCGUACGUAGCACAGCGGUUAAGAUCCUGGACUCCACUGCCAGGCCGGCUGGGGUAGGGGUCCCACCUCCACUCAGCCCUCCAGUUGUGUGACCUCGCACAAGUUACUGAACCUCUCUGUGCCUCAGUUUCCUCAUCUGGGAAACGAGGCUGAUUGCAGAAACCACCUGGAGCGAUUGUUGUAGCAUUGAGUGAGUUAACACCUAACGCGCUGAGAACAGGCCGUGAUGUGUUAAGAGCUGUUCGCCACCAUGGGUUUUCCAAGGCUACUCUCUCUCACAGCACUCAUCACACUUGACUUGUGGGGUCACCCACCGGGUGACCCAAACACCAGGGCAGUGUUUCUGCAGUGUGUGCAGUAAAAGCAGAGUAAUCUGGGCCACACUCAGGAACGUAUGUUGUUAACACGGAGACACGGCGAUUUGGAGGCAGGGGGUCCACGGCCUCAUUUUUAGAAGUGCUGCUGCACUCAGCUGUGAGCCGCCAGGGUGGUGACUGCCCCAUCGUCCGGGACACACCCCCCCCCCACCUGCAGGGAGUGAGCUCCUGGCCCCCCCCAGAAGUGCUCGACUCACGUGGGUUUCCUUCUUCAUCUCCUUUAAUAAAUGAUUUGUGAAUGAACAAAUGACAGACUGACUGGACAGUAUGUUAAAAUACCAGGACAUUUCAGGGCAACUGACAAUCUGAGUCUUCUCCUCUGCCUACUCCAUUAAGAACACACACGCAUAUCUUUUCCUUAUUAGAUCCGAGCCGUUUUUAUGAACUCUUUCUGAAAAGGAGAGAAAUUAUAAAUGGGUCUUUCACAACACAAAUAUCUGGAAACAGGUUAUUGGUGAGAGAGAGUGGGAUUCUGGCUCUGAACGUAAUGAUGUUUUACUACAAAGGAAUGAUGUCUCCAUGUCACAUCAGCCACCAAAGGAGAGAGAGCAAACCAACCUUCCCAGGGUGUAAUGGUGCUGAGAUUCUGAACACACCACGUUUUGUGAAGAACUCACAGUUACAACAGGGGUCACAUCUCUCUGCUCCUCAUGGGGAUCCAUGAAGGAAAAUUCUUCUCUGUUUUCAUGUGGAAACAUAACUGCAGCCCUCAGCCCAUACCCCUGCCCACUCUGGUUCUUCCUCAAGCAUCUGACAGCUGUAUCCUGUGAUGCAGUAGGACACACAGCUCACGUGCAUGGAGGGAUUCUAACACACUGGGAAGGGACCGGGCCUGGGUCCUGGGAGUCACAGCCAGGGCAGAAUCUGCAGGAGGCUCCGGGUUUCAAUGACUCUCAUGCUCCCAAAGCCCCAGGGCCAUCAUAGAUCUGCUGACCCAGAGCUUCUAAUGUUGGCUCUUCCCUGGGGGACCACCUCCAAACUUGUCCCCAUCAAUGUGAACCAAAAGGACGAUUUCGGGGAAGCAGAGCUCUGAGCCUGUAGCCCACGAAACUUAGACACACACACACACACAGAGACAUUUAACAAGGGAAGUGCAUGCCCACAGAUUUAAUCCCCAGAUCUUUCUCCAAGGCCUGCCCUGGUUCAUGCGGGAGCCCGCCGCAGCACGCUGAAGAUGACCUAACAACUGGCCUCAGACAUUCCAGAGAGAUGCGCGAUGCCUUGACAAGGAAAUCAUGGACGUUUAGAAGGCAAGCGAACAGGCAGGAAUCGGGUCUGGGCUCCACGCUGAAGCGGCAGCGCAUGCAGCCUUAGCGCCACCUAGUGGAGCCACGGGGAUCCGUCCCAGCGCUUUAGAGUCAACCCACCAGGGGAUCCCAUGGUCGGUCUCCUCCGCCCAGAAUUCCUCUGGGCCGGCGCCUCUGUGGGCUUGGUGACCACAUGGUGUGUUCUAGAAAUACUUCUAACAUUGAGGGCCUUCUCCAGUAAAGAAGGGGAGCAACUCUAAACUUUUCUCCAUCUUUGUGAACUGAAAAGAUGUUCCAAAGGAAUUAGAGCUCUGAGAUUGCAGCACACAAAACACACACAGGGACACACGCACACACAGAUGCACACAGACAUACACACACACAGAUGCACAUAUACAGAAACCACACAUAUGAGGACGCCCACAUACACUCAGACACACAGAGACGUACACAUACUCACAAACAGACACAUACCUACAGGGACACAUGCAGACACCCACGUCCACGCAAAGACAUUCAACAAGAGAAGAGAGUACCCACCAGUCCAAACCCAUGAUCUCUCUCCAGGCCAUGCCCAGGCUCACGGGGGAGACCGCCCACACCAUGCUGGCUUCCCCGAGUCCCACCACCUUCCAGAGAGGGGAAGAAACGUGGAAACUGAUGGGCCCUGGUGGCCAACGCACCUCAUCAAGGUGCUAGCCCUGGUUUAAAAAAGUCCUCUUUUCUGCCAGCCGCAGAUAAGGAGGCAGGUGGGCAGUCCCAGGAGAGGGGACAAUGGAGCCACAUGGGCAUCUCCUGGGGUGAGCAGAGAUGGCUGAUGGCUUACACUCGCGUUCUCUGACUGGCCUGCCCUUGUUGGGGUGAUGACGAAGGUCCCGGGGUCGGGUCCCACACGCUACCCCCUGUCCUCCUAUCGGGGCGGCUGGCCCACCAGGCUGUGAAGACCUUCCUGGUGAGGCGGGUGAACACAGGCUGCUAACUCGACCGGAGGCUCACUGCUUCUUUCCCAGAGAGAAAAAGAAGAGAGUGCUGGCAGUCUGCACCUCCUGACAGUCAUGGUUUACCCGGCGGGGAGCCGACGCGGAGUCAGAGAGAGGAUUCAGAAAAGAUGAGAGGGAACAAACGACAAAAGAAGUGCCCAAUGUCUGCAAGUCCCGAGAGUUACAAGGAAGGAAGUGGGCUCCGCUCUGGCAGGAAAGCUCAGCUCUUCUGAGCUGUGUGACCUUGGGCAGGCCACUUACCCUCUCUGAGUCCCGGCUUCCUUAUCCACCAAAUGAAGAUGCUAAUAACAUAGGCCUCCCAGUGGGAGCCGAUGAGUAAAGAAUAUGUGUUUACCUGAAUGAAAGCGGGCUUCCCCUUCCAGGCCCAUCCUACAUGGGAAGGCAUCCGAAAGACCUGGAGUUGAAUCCACACCCUUGAAGAGUAGAGUGGGCCUUUAUUAAUUGUCACUCAAGUAGGUGGGGAGGCAGAACCACAUAAUCACAACACAGCUAAAUUUACUAGGAACAAAACCAUGUCCUUACUCUGCAUCUUGCUAAAGUCCCUUAUAGCCGGCAGCUGUCCCAGCCUCUCUUCUCGCUCCAGUCUCGUCUCUCUCCCCCUCAAACUCCUCCAAGAUAUUUUCCUUUCCAUGCACUCCCAGGCCCCUUCACCCUCGGUCCCAGCCCUGGCCAUCCACUGGGUGACCUGAAAAUACUUUUAAAAAGGACCAACCCCUCGGCCCCUCCUCAGCUGAGUGAAAUGAGAAUUUCUGGAAACUGGGUCUGGGCGUCAGUAGUGUACAGACGUUCCGAGGUGAUUUUAUAUGCAUCUAGGGUUGAAACUACUGUUCUAAAUAUUUUUUAAACUACUCCUUUUGAAUAUGAAUCCAUGUGCCACCUCUGGCUUCUGCUAAUUCUCCCCCGUGUGUCCAUGAUGACUCCUGGCAGUGUUAUUAGUAUAAUCAGUAGAUUGGGAACAACCAAAAAAUCCAUCAACAGAGAAAAGUCAAAUAAAAUGUGGCAUAUCCAAGCGCUGGAAAACCACACAGCCACCAAAAUGCACCAGGACACUGCCUCUGAACCGACCUGGAAAGUCUCUGAGGGCAUUUUUAAGGGGAAAGAGCAAGAUGCACAGCAGUGUGCAGGGUACGUAUUCUGCUACAUUUCACACCAAGCGUGAAGGAAGGGAGGGGUUUAUAUUCACAUUUUCUUGUAUUUGCAUUUUAAAAACUAUCAAAAGAGGAACCGGCCU